UACGUAGGGGGCAAGCGUUGUCCGGAUUUAUUGGGCGUAAAGCGCGUGUAGGCGGCCACACAGGUCCGCUGUGAAAACUCGAGGCUCAACCUCGAGCUGUCGGUGGAAACCGUGUGGCUAGAGUCCGGAAGAGGAGACUGGAAUUCCCGGUGUAGCGGUGGAAUGCGCAGAUAUCGGGAGGAACACCCGUGGCGAAGGCGGCGACCUGGACGGACACUGACGCUGAGACGCGAAAGCGUGGGGAGCAAACAGG
rnacentral:rRNA from 1 species